CAGUAGCCACGGUAAGACAGAGGAUGCAAGCGUUAUCCGGAAUGAUUGGGCGUAAAGCGUCUGUAGGUGGCUUUUCAAGUCCGCCGUCAAAUCCCAGGGCUCAACCUGGGAAUGGCGCUUGUGACUGCAAAGCUAGAGUGCGGCAGAGGGGGAUGGAAUUCCGCGUGUAGCAGUGAAAUGCGUAGAUAUGCGGAGGAACACCGAUGGCGAAGGCGAUCCCCUGGGCCUGCACUGACGCUCAUGCACGAAAGCGUGGGGAGCAAACAGGAUUAGAUACCCCUGUAGUCCCUGUCUCUUAUAC
rnacentral:rRNA from 1 species